ACCAGUUGUUGAACCUUCUCUCUCCUGUUAGCAGUGGAGCUCCUUUGAGUACAGUUGUAUAUUGUGAUUCAUACACACACACACACAAACACACAAACACACACACCCGUGCACUCGCUCAGUGGGUCAGAUGAAUGCCACGCUUAUUCACAUUACUAAUUGCUGUCGCAAGAGCAAUUCAAUUGAGGCUCGAAAAUCCAUUUAAAUAAUAUUAAAAUGUUGUUAAUCAGUGCCACUCGCGCACACGGACACCCGAACGAUCUGCCACACUUUGCUGCUGUUGUUGCUUUAGUGGGGACGGUGACGGAGAGACCUUCUCGAGCAACUUGAAAACUUGUAUAUGUUUUUGUUGGGAAGCACAGAGACGCGGCGCAGAAACAGCUACACAGCGACAACGUCUUGCUAAAUGUUGAUGGAGCAAAAUCCGCGACGAACGUCAAAAAAUUGCAGAUAGGCACGGAUCGAUCGACCGAUCGCUCGCUCUCUCUCUAUCUCUCACUGGAAGCCAGCCAACGAGCGCGAGCGUAAAAGAGAGAGUGUGACACGAAGCCAGCAGCCUCAUCAUCUUCUGUGCCUCGCGCAAUAUUUUUUUUCUUUGUGCACUUUUGCUCCAGUGCAGACCAGUUCUCUUUCUGACGCGUAGUUACGCUCUUCAAUCAAGUCGAAGAAAACGCUCAAACUCUCUCUCUCUCGCGACUCACAGAAUGAGUGGAUUGAAUGAGUACAUAAGCUUUUGACUGGAAAGCCAGAGAGAGAGAGAGAGAGAAAAGAGAGCAAACCUACAGCUGAUCGAGCAGCACUGUUAUACGAAGCUCAAACUGGUUUUCGCUGAACGAGACGUUGGAAUUCAAAUUGUUUCGAUGAUGCUAAGAAGUAGAACAGCUUCUGGAAAGGCCAAGCUUUGGAGUGCGAUCGUGCGAUAGUAUCCAUACCCUUACAGCUAUUGGCCCUUAGCGAUUUUUCUUUAUCUAAAAAAUCGAUGCAAAAGUUGAAUAACCCACAAAGAAAACCCCUUUCAAUAAUGUUCUUCAUAUAAUUGCAAAUUUAUUUCUAUAAUAUAUAUCU